rnacentral:sRNA from 16 species
CGCGUGGCUGGUCGGGCAACCAACGGCAGCGGCCACGGGAUACCCGGGACUGUGGGAUAGUCUUGAGACCCCGGGCGAGGUGGCGAACUCAGCGCCUCGAGACGAACGGCUGACGAGU